AGAGUUUGAUCCUGGCUCAGGAUGAACGCUAGCUACAGGCUUAACACAUGCAAGUCGAGGGGCAGCAUUUUAGUUUGCUUGCAAACUGAAGAUGGCGACCGGCGCACGGGUGAGUAACACGUAUCCAACCUGCCGAUAACUCCGGAAUAGCCUUUCGAAAGAAAGAUUAAUACCGGAUGGCAUACGAAUAUCGCAUGAUAUUUUUAUUAAAGAAUUUCGGUUAUCGAUGGGGAUGCGUUCCAUUAGUUUGUUGGCGGGGUAACGGCCCACCAAGACUACGAUGGAUAGGGGUUCUGAGAGGAAGGUCCCCCACAUUGGAACUGAGACACGGUCCAAACUCCUACGGGAGGCAGCAGUGAGGAAUAUUGGUCAAUGGACGAGAGUCUGAACCAGCCAAGUAGCGUGAAGGAUGACUGCCCUAUGGGUUGUAAACUUCUUUUAUAAAGGAAUAAAGUCGGGUAUGCAUACCCGUUUGCAUGUACUUUAUGAAUAAGGAUCGGCUAACUCCGUGCCAGCAGCCGCGGUAAUACGGAGGAUCCGAGCGUUAUCCGGAUUUAUUGGGUUUAAAGGGAGCGUAGGCGGAUUGUUAAGUCAGUUGUGAAAGUUUGCGGCUCAACCGUAAAAUUGCAGUUGAUACUGGCAGUCUUGAGUGCAGUAGAGGUGGGCGGAAUUCGUGGUGUAGCGGUGAAAUGCUUAGAUAUCACGAAGAACUCCGAUUGCGAAGGCAGCUCACUGGAGUGUAACUGACGCUGAUGCUCGAAAGUGUGGGUAUCAAACAGGAUUAGAUACCCUGGUAGUCCACACAGUAAACGAUGAAUACUCGCUGUUUGCGAUAUACAGUAAGCGGCCAAGCGAAAGCGUUAAGUAUUCCACCUGGGGAGUACGCCGGCAACGGUGAAACUCAAAGGAAUUGACGGGGGCCCGCACAAGCGGAGGAACAUGUGGUUUAA
rnacentral:rRNA from 1 species